GGCUCUGGGAGGAGCCUGAGGAGACACUGAGCCCAUGCAGCCUGGUCCAGCCCACAUUCCUCAGCUGGCCUUGGUGUAGUGAGCAUGCUCGAUGCUCAACCGGAAGCUAAGCCCUGCACCAGGAGCCUUAGCUGCCAUCUGUGCCUGCAGACUCUGGAUCCUCGUGUCCUAUUUUGUAAAGCAGCAAGCCAGGGCUGAGUAGCCCUGUGCCUUGCUUAGGACUCACAGCUGACCACCACUGAAACUGUUCCAGGCUCCAGUCAACUGGGCCACGGCAACUGGAAGCAAAAGUCCUGGCAAGUCCUUCCAAGAAGCAGAAUAACCAUGGUGGCUGGCUCUGGGUCCCUAAGGAGAGUUGUGCCUUGGGAAGGCCUCCCGCACUACAGAAGAAGAGGAACCACUGGGAUGGCUCAGCAGGGAAAAAGGAGCCUGCCUCGAAGCAAAGCGUGACAAGCAAAGUAUGGUCCCCGAGUACCCAUAUGGUGGGAGAGAAAACAGACCAUCCGACUUCCACCCAUGUGCCAUGUCACAUGCAUGCCCACACAGAUACACGGAUGUACACACAACAGUCAAAAUGUAAUAAAUGUUCUAUAAAGAAGAGAAGGAAGGGUGGGAGCGGGGAGGAAGGAGGAGAGAAAGAAGGAGAGCCAAACACAUGGUGAAAAGCAAGGCCCCUCGCUGCUAACCUCAUCUUCUGCUUCUGGUUCUCGGUCUUUCCAGUGGUACUCUAACAGCUAGCUAAACCCUGAUACGCAUAUAUCUUUUCUUGAAAUAGGAUCUUUUGUAGAAUGGCCUGCCGCACUGCCCCUGGCUUUUGUAACUUGCAGACUUCUGGAGACUGAUACAGCAGUCUGGAGGGUCUCCCUCGAACUGGAUACAGGCUGUCCAGUAAAGCCUCUAAUGGCUGUGUCAUCAUUUAUUUAACUAAGCCCCCAGUGAUGGACAUUUAAACACUUGCUCAUCGUGCAACUACAAACAAGGCAACAAUAAAUAUCCUUGUGCAAACAAA